rnacentral:rRNA from 1 species
GAUGAACGCUGGCGGCGCGCCUAACACAUGCAAGUCGAACGAAGCGACUCAAAGUUUUCGGACAGAGAGUUGACUGAGUGGCGGACGGGUGAGUAACGCGUGGAUAACCUGCCUCAUACAGGGGGAUAACAGUUAGAAAUGACUGCUAAUACCGCAUAAGCGCACAGUACCGCAUGGUACAGUGUGAAAAACUCCGGUGGUAUGAGAUGGAUCCGCGUCUGAUUAGCUAGUUGGCGGGGUAACGGCCCACCAAGGCGACGAUCAGUAGCCGACCUGAGAGGGUGACCGGCCACAUUGGGACUGAGACACGGCCCAAACUCCUACGGGAGGCAGCAGUGGGGAAUAUUGCACAAUGGGCGAAAGCCUGAUGCAGCGACGCCGCGUGAGUGAAGAAGUAUUUCGGUAUGUAAAGCUCUAUCAGCAGGGAAGAAAAUGACGGUACCCUUGGAGGAAGCCCCGGCUAACUACGUGCCAGCAGCCGCAGUAAAAC